rnacentral:SRP_RNA from 1 species
GCCAGGCAUGGUGGCGCAUGCCUGUAGUCCCAGCUACUUCGGAGGCUGAGGCAGGAGAAUCGCUUGAACCCGGGAGGCAGAGGUUGCAGUGAGCUGAGAUUGCACCACUGCACUCCAGCCUGGGUGACAGAGUGAGACUCCGCCUCAC